GAACAUUAGGGUUCUCUUCAGUUACGGUGGUGGGGCUCACAUUAACAGCUUGCUCAAACGGCUGCGCAACAAAAAGGAUCAAGAAAAGAUGAUAAAUACCAUCGACUCUCUAGUAAAGCCCAAGAAAUUCGACGGCGUCAAUUUGCACUUGGAAGGACCGGGACCGUCGAUAUGCAACAGAGAGCACUUCGACAGAAUUCUCACGUUUAUUAAGAAAUUCCGGUUCAAGAUUAUGCACGUCGAUGACCUCCUAACAAUUCAACUCCCGACCUGCCGCCCCAAAUGUGAUGCUGUAUUGAAAAGUGACCUUGCAAGGUACGUCGACUACAUCUUUCUCAUGACGUUCGAUUACAAACUGGACGAUACUAAGAAGACGAAGCUUACGAGUGGACUCAAUCU